AGGACGAACGCUGGCGGCGUGCUUAACACAUGCAAGUCGAACGGUAAGGCCCCUUCGGGGGUACACGAGUGGCGAACGGGUGAGUAACACGUGGGUAAUCUGCCCUGCACUUCGGGAUAAGCCUGGGAAACUGGGUCUAAUACCGGAUAUGAACUCCUGCCGCAUGGGUGGGGGUUGGUAAAGUUUUUCGGUGCAGGAUGAGCCCGCGGCCUAUCAGCUUGUUGGUGGGGUAAUGGCCUACCAAGGCGACGACGGGUAGCCGGCCUGAGAGGGUGAUCGGCCACACGUGGGACUGAGACACGGCCCAGACUCCGUACGGGAGCAGCAGUGGGGAAUAUUGCACAAGUGGGACGAAAGCCUGAUGCAGCGACGCCGCGGUGGGGGAUGGACGGUCUCGGAUUCGUAAACCCCUUUGAGUAGGGACGAAGCGACAAGUGACGGUACCUGACAAGAAGAACGCCGAACCGGACUAACCGUACG
rnacentral:rRNA from 1 species